rnacentral:pre_miRNA from 1 species
UUAUUACUCCCUCCGUCCGAAAAUACUUGUCAUCAAAAUGGAUAAAAAGAGAUGUAUGUAGAACUAAAAUAUGUCUAGAUACAUCCCCUUUUAUCUAUUUUGGUGACAAGUUUUUCCGGACGGAGGGAGUACUUA